GCCGGCCUGCCGGCACGCAUCGCACAACUUGGCCCUCGGGUCCGUGGGGAGUGGCGUCGAGGCAGGUGCUAGGUGCCGCGGCAGGAGGCACCGUCUGCGGGUACAGCGAGGUGUGCGCCAAUCUGCGUGCCGCGAAAUUCAGAUCUCCCGCGGAAAAUGCGGCGCUUUGGUUGGCUGCUGCAACACGCACAGGCUCCGCCCCCCGGAAAGGACCGGCCUUAGAAGCCGCGAUUGCAACACGAGCUUUACAGCUUAAAGGGGCCACGACACCUGCUCCUGUCCCUGUAGGCCCGCUGCAGCAGCCCACGAAACUGAGACUGAGGGCGGUUACCAGACACACAGCACAGGACUGAGCAGCUCAUAGUGCAUUGAGAAAUGGGCCCGGGUUCCCUGGGGAUGGGGAAAAAUGUUUUGGCUUGGAGUCCAGAUCUGAGCCUAGACCCUGCAGUGCAUUUCCCAGGACACAGGGCUCUUUGUUAGUUUGUGUGGUUGGACUGUAUUGUAUACAUUUAUAUCCCUCUUUCUGCUAAAAUGAAAGCCAGGAACCAGUAACUUUAA